UUAUUUAAUGUUUCUGUGUUUAAGUUCUAUGAUUUAUAUGUAUUGUUAUGUUCUAAAUGGAAUUGUUGGUUUCCAGUCGCUGGAGCUUUGGGACAUGACAGAAAACAAGAGAAGGACACUGCUUGCUCGUGACAAGCUGGUAUCAGCAUUGGCUGCAUCAAAUGAUAGCCGUGUCAAACUCUGGCAGUAACGAAUUCAACGAGCUCUCUUCUCCAACCAAAAUGAUUGAGACAAGGGGAAGGCACUAUGGGAAUACGAUAAGACCAAUUUGACGGAAGUGGAUGAGGUGGCACAAAAGUAACUAGGUGGGUCCCACAGAGUGUUACUAGAAAAAAGUCAAUGGACAAAGUGAUUGACUAUGGAAGGUCUUUCGGGAGACAGAAACAUCGGGAAGCUUUUCACUUUGUCGACACCUUGUCCAACCAUCAUUCUUAUCCUAUUCCUUUUAUUAUCAUUAUUUUCAUUAAAUUAUACAAACUUAGUUUAUAAUAAUUUUUUAAAAAAUAAAUUUUGUUUCUGUUAAAAUUAGUUUUAAAUGUGUUCCUUAAAUGUCUUAAAUUUGUAUCUAAACUAAGUAAAGUAUAUUAGAAUAAAGUUGUAAUGGGUCA